CACGUAGGGUGCAAGCGUUGUCCGGAAUUAUUGGGCGUAAAGAGCGUGUAGGCGGCCACACAGGUCAGCUGUGAAAACUCGAGGCUCAACCUCGAGACGUCGGUUGAAACCGUAUGGCUAGAGUCCGGAAGAGGAGAGUGGAAUUCCCGGUGUAGCGGUGAAAUGCGCAGAUAUCGGGAGGAACACCGGUGGCGAAGGCGGUUCUCUGGGCCUGUACUGACGCUGAGGAGCGAAAGCGUGGGGAGCGAACAGG
rnacentral:rRNA from 1 species